UACGUAGGGUGCGAGCGUUGUCCGGAAUUAUUGGGCGUAAAGAGCUCGUAGGCGGUGUGUCACGUCGGCCGUGAAAACCUGCAGCUUAACUGUGGGCGUGCGGUCGAUACGGGCAUCACUGGAGUUCGGCAGGGGAGACUGGAAUUCCUGGUGUAGCGGUGAAAUGCGCAGAUAUCAGGAGGAAUACCGGUGGCGAAGGCGGCAUCCUGGACCGGCAUUGACGCUGAGGAGCGAAAGCUAGGGGAGCAAACGGG
rnacentral:rRNA from 1 species